rnacentral:rRNA from 1 species
UGGGGAAUAUUGCGCAAUGGGGGAAACCCUGACGCAGCAACGCCGCGUGAAGGAUGAAGGUUUUCGGAUUGUAAACUUCUUUGAUGAGGGACGAACAAAAUGACGGUACCUCAAAAACAAGCUACGGCUAACUACGUGCCAGCAGCCGCGGUAAUACGUAGGUAGCGAGCGUUGUCCGGAAUUACUGGGUGUAAAGGGCGUGUAGGCGGGACUGCAAGUCAGAUGUGAAAUUCCAAGGCUUAACCUUGGCGCUGCAUCUGAAACUGUAGUUCUUGAGUGAUGGAGAGGAUAGUGGAAUUCCUAGUGUAGCGGUGAAAUGCGUAGAUAUUAGGAGGAACACCAGUGGCGAAGGCGGCUAUCUGGACAUUAACUGACGCUGAGGCGCGAAAGCGUGGGGAGC